CCUACGGGAGGCAGCAGUGAGGAAUAUUGGUCAAUGGGCGCGAGCCUGAACCAGCCAAGUCGCGUGAGGGAAGACGGCCCUACGGGUUGUAAACCUCUUUUGCCGGGGAGCAACGGGCGCCACGUGUGGCGCCACUGAGAGUACCCGGAGAAAAAGCAUCGGCUAACUCCGUUCCAGCAGACGCGGUAAUACGGAGGAUGCGGGCGUUAUCCGGAUUUAUUGGGUUUAAAGGGUGCGUUGGCGGAGCGUUAAGUCCGUGGUAAAAUUUGGGGGCUCAACCCCUUACCGCAAUUGAAACUGGCGCCCUUGAGUGGAAGAGAAGUAUGCGGAAUGCGUGGUGUAGCGGUGAAAUGCAUAGAUAUCACGCAGAACCCCGAUUGCGAAGGCAGCAUGCCGGCUUCCUACUGACGCUGAAGCACGAAAGCGUGGGGAUCGAACAGGAUUAGAUACCCGAGUAGUC
rnacentral:rRNA from 1 species